AAUCGGGGGGUCCCCAAGUCCCCGACUGCUUUUGUCACUCAAAUUUGGGGGUGCUGAAGGUAAAUGGGAUACUUGGGGGAAGCAAAUUGGGGUGUUCCCAAGUCUUUGGGUGUCUGGGUGCCCAAAUUGGGGUGUCCCAAAGUCAACUGGGCACCUGGAUCCCCCAAAAUCGGGGUGUCCCCAAAUCUUUGGGUGUCUGGGUGCCCAAAAUUGGGGUGUCCCCAAAUCUCUGGGUCUCUGGGUGCCCAAAUUGGGGUGUCCCAAAGUCACCUGGGCACCUGGAUCCCCCAAAAUCGGGGUGUCCCCAAAUCUCUGGGUCUCUGGGUGCCCAAAUUGGGGUGUCCCAAAGUCACCUGGGCACCUGGAUCCCCCAAAAUCGGGGUGUCCCCAAAUCUCUGGGUUUCUGGGUCCCCUAAUUUGGGGUGUCCCCAUAUCUCCAGACACUUGGGUGUCCAAAUUGGGGUGUCCCAAGUCCACCUGUCCCCCUGGAUCCCCCAAAUCAGGGUGUCCCCAAAUCUCUGGGUGUCUGGGUGCCCCAAAUUGGGUUGUCCCCAAAUCCUUGGGUGUCUCUGUCCCCCAAAUUGGGGUGUCCCCAAAUCCCUGAGGGUCUGGGUGCCCAAACUGGGGUGUCCCAAAGUCAACUGGGACACUUGGGUCCCCAAAAUCAGGGUGUCCCCAAAUCUCUGGGUGUCUGGGUCCCCAAAUUGGGGUGUCCCCAAAUCUCUGGGUGCCCAAAUUGGGGUGUCCCCAAGCCACCUGUCCCCCUGGAUCCCCCAAAAUCGGGGUGUCCCCAAAUCCCUGGGUGUCUCUGGGUCCCCCAAAUUAGGGUGUCCCCAAAUCUCUGGGUCUCUGGGUGCCCAAAUUUGGGUGUCCUCAAGCCACCUGUCCCCCUGGAUCCCCCAAAUCGGGGUGUCCCCAAAUCUCCAGACACUUGGGUGCCCAAAUCAGGGUGUCCCAAAGUCACCCUGGACAUCUGGAUCCCCAAAAUUGGGGUGUCCCCAAAUCUCUGGAUCUCUGGGUCCCCAAAUUGGGGUGUCCCCAAGCCACCUGGACACCUGGGUCCCCCAAAAUCGGGGUGUCCCCAAAUCCCUGGGUCUCUGGGUGCCCAAAAUUGGGGUGUCCCAAAGCCACCUUCUCCCUGGAUCCCCCAAAAUCAGGAUGUCCCCUAAUCCCUGGGUGUCUCUGUCCCCCAAAUCGGGGUGUCCCCAAAUCUCUGGGUCUCCAGGUGCCCAAAUUGAGGUGUCCCAAAGUCAACUGGGCAUUAGGGUGCCCCAAUUU
rnacentral:lncRNA from 1 species